UACGAAGGGGGCUAGCGUUGUUCGGAAUUACUGGGCGUAAAGCGCACGUAGGCGGAUACUUAAGUCAGGGGUGAAAUCCCGGGGCUCAACCCCGGAACUGCCUUUGAUACUGGGUAUCUCGAGUCCGGAAGAGGUGAGUGGAAUUCCGAGUGUAGAGGUGAAAUUCGUAGAUAUUCGGAGGAACACCAGUGGCGAAGGCGGCUCACUGGUCCGGUACUGACGCUGAGGUGCGAAAGCGUGGGGUGCAAACAGG
rnacentral:rRNA from 1 species